rnacentral:rRNA from 1 species
GACGAACGCUGGCGGCGUGCUUAACACAUGCAAGUCGAACGGAAAGGCCCUGCUUUUGUGGGGUGCUCGAGUGGCGAACGGGUGAGUAACACGUGAGUAACCUGCCCUUGACUUUGGGAUAACUUCAGGAAACUGGGGCUAAUACCGGAUAGGAGCUCCUGCUGCAUGGUGGGGGUUGGAAAGUUUCGGCGGUUGGGGAUGGACUCGCGGCUUAUCAGCUUGUUGGUGGGGUAGUGGCUUACCAAGGCUUUGACGGGUAGCCGGCCUGAGAGGGUGACCGGCCACAUGGGGAAUGAGAUACGGCCCAGACUCCUACGGGAGGCAGCAGUGGGGAAUAUUGCACAAUGGGCGGAGGCCUGAGGCAGCAACGCCGCGUGCGGGAUGACGGCCUUCGGGUUGUAAACCGCUUUCGCCUGUGACGAAGCGUGAGUGACGGUAAUGGGUAAAGAAGCACCGGCUAACUACGUG